AAUUAAGUAUUAUUAUGAUAUGUUGAUUUAAAGUUAAGUUUUUUAAAAAAUUAAUAGAUUUUGUUUUUUAGUAUAAUAAAGAAUUUUAUUUAGAGAUUAUAGUUAAUGAGUACAGUAAUGGAAUUAUUUGGUAUUUUGUUAAAGUAGUGUUGGGGUUUCGUACCUUUUGUAUCAGGGGUAUACUAUAUAAUUAUGUUAUUUAUAAGAUCCCGAAACAAGGAGAGUUAAAUUUUAUUGCUUCUCUACGUUGUAAAGUAGUCUGUAAAAGUUUUUAGUGGUGAUAUGUUAGUCGGUCUUUGUAUAUCUGGUUUUUUACGAAAUGAAUUUAAUUUUGUACUAAAUCUAAUUGUGGUUUAGUGAGAAUGGUAGGAGGAAUAAGCUUCUUAUCUGAUGUUUUUGUUAAGGACUUUAUUGUAAGUCGUUAUAGGUGGGCUUAAAGUCAGCCAUCUUAGUAUAACGUUAAAGUAAUAACGAUUUGUAUUUAUAUUUUUAAAGUGUCUUGCUAUUUUUAGUAAAAAAUUUCAUUUAUUAUUUAGUUGGAAGAUAUAGUGUUUAUAUAAGUAUAGUUAAAGUUUUUUUAAAAUUUUGAGUGAAGAAAUUUUUUAAGUGUUAAGAGUCGUUUAAAAGGAACUCGGCAAAUUUUAUCUCCGCCUGUUUAUCAAAAACAUGUCUGUGUGUGUGAGUUAUAAAGUCUAGCCUGCCCACUGAUUAACUUAAAGGGCCGCGGUAUUUUGACCGUGCGAAGGUAGCAUAGUCAGUAGUCUUUUAAUUGAAGGCUUGAAUGAAAGGUUGGACGAGGGAUAGGCUGUCUCUUUUAUGAGAUUUGAAUUUAACUUUUGAGUGAAAAGGCUCAAAUUAUUUAGUGGGACGAUAAGACCCUAUAAAACUUUAUAUAAAAGUAACUUGGUUUAUGAUUUAGGUGAAAAGUAGCUUUGUUGGGUUUAUAUUUCGUUGGGGAGAUGUAGAUAUAAUAUAUAACUGUCUGUUUAAUUUAAUAGCUGUAGUUAGUGUGUGAUCCUUCUUUGUGGAUUAAAAGUAUAAGUUACUUUAGGGAUAACAGCGUGAUUUUCUUUGAGAGUUCCUAUCGACAAGAGUAGUUGCGACCUCGAUGUUGAAUUAAAGUUUCAGUUAGGUGUAGCCGUCUAGCUGGUAGGUCUGUUCGACCUUUAAAGCUUUACAUGAUUUGAGUUCAAACCGGUGUGAGCCAGGUUGGUUUCUAUCUUUUACGGGUUUAAAAAUGGCUUUAGUACGAAAGGAUUGGGCUUUUGGGAUAAUCUUAGUUUAAGGAUAAACUUUAAUGA
rnacentral:rRNA from 1 species